UACGUAGGGGGCAAGCGUUGUCCGGAUUUAUUGGGCGUAAAGAGCGUGUAGGCGGCCAUGUAGGUCCGUUGUGAAAACUCGAGGCUCAACCUCGAGACGCCGAUGGAAACCAUAUGGCUAGAGUCCGGAAGAGGAGUGUGGAAUUCCCGGUGUAGCGGUGAAAUGCGCAGAUAUCGGGAAGAACACCCGUGGCGAAGGCGGCACUCUGGGACGGUACUGACGCUGAGACGCGAAAGCGUGGGGAGCGAACAGG
rnacentral:rRNA from 1 species